rnacentral:lncRNA from 1 species
AUCAAGUGGUCCAUCAAGCACCCAUACAAGGACAUGACUGGUGUCACUGACCCAACUCUCCAAGUUGCGGUCCUUGUAGACACCAAGUCCAUAUCUCUCUUUAGAAUGUCGUCUACUCUAGACUUCAUUCUUUUUCAGAUCUUAGUCCACGACUAGAUCAAAUUCAGUCCCUAGGAACAAACUGCGUACUCAAGUCUUAGUAGAUUCAACCAAUAUCUAAGCCACUCGAUGCACCAGCCAAGUCCUAGCGAACAUGUUCCAAUCUUUAGGCUGAUCACUCUACC